rnacentral:rRNA from 1 species
ACUGUACUGCCCAGAACACACCCUGAUCUUGUCUGUUUUUGUAAGUUAAGCAUGGUUGACCUGGUUUGUACUUAAAUGGGAGGCCACCAAGGGAUCUCAUGGAUUGACAGGU